rnacentral:rRNA from 1 species
GAGCGCUGGCGGCAUGCCUAACACAUGCAAGUCGAACGAACCCUUCGGGGUGAGUGGCGCACGGGUGCGUAACGCGUGGGAACCUGCCUUUAGGUUCGGAAUAACAGUUAGAAAUGACUGCUAAUACCGGAUAAUGUCUUCGGACCAAAGAUUUAUCGCCUUUAGAUGGGCCCGCGGGAGAUUAGAUAGUUGGUGGGGUAAUGGCCUACCAAGUCGACGAUCUAUAGCUGGUCUGAGAGGAUGAUCAGCCACNNUGGGACUGAGACACGGCCCAGACUCCUACGGGAGGCAGCAGUGGGGAAUAUUGGACAAUGGGCGAAAGCCUGAUCCAGCAAUGCCGCGUGAGUGAUGAAGGCCUUAGGGUUGUAAAGCUCUUUUACCAGGGAUGAUAAUGACAGUACCUGGAGAAUAAGCUCCGGCUAACUCCGUGCCAGCAGCCGCG